AUGAAUGGUAUUGGUUGUGAUGGAAUAUUGUUUAGAUAUGGAUUUGAUAUUUGGUGUGGUUGGAUGAAGGUUAGAGACACUUUAGUUGAUGGUCGUGUUUUGAAGUCGUUUAUUGUGGUUGAAGGUAUUGAUAGGGUGAUUGAAGGUAUUGAUAGGGUGGUUCAAGGUUGGGUGAGGUUGAUGAAUGUUGAUCGAUGGGCGUCAUUGGAUGGAAAGAAGGUGAGUUAUGGAAAUCCUUGUAACGAAAAUGGAAGUUUUGGAAAUCCUCGGAACAAAAGGGCUUCAUUUAACAAUUCUAGUAUUCUCCAUAGAAGUUACGGGAGUCCUCGUAACGAAUAA